rnacentral:rRNA from 1 species
AGCUUCAGUAGCGUAUAUUAAAGUUGUUGCAGUUAAAAAGCUCGUAGUCGCAUUUCUGGCGAGAGGAUCCGGUCCGACCUUUUGGUGGGUUCUUGGGUCUCUUUCGCCAUCCUUGAGUGGUCCGUUCUGGCAUUAGGUUGUCGGAGCGUCAGCCGCUCAUCGUUUACUGUGAGAAAAUUAGAGUGUUCAAAGCAGGCUUAUGCCGUUGAAUAUAUUAGCAUGGAAUAAUAAGAUAGGACCUCGGUACUAGUGUGUUGGUUUGCGCACCAAGGUAAUGAUGAACAGGGACAGUUGGGGGUAUUUGUAUUUCGUUGUCAGAGGUGAAAUUCUUAGAUUUACGAAAGACAAACUACUGCGAAAGCAUUUACCAAGGAUGUUUUCA